AGGGCACCACCAGGAGUGGAGCCUGCGGCCUAAUUUGACUCAACACGGGAAAACUCACCCGGCCCGGACACCGAAAGGAUUGACAGAUUGAUAGCUCUUUCUUGAUUCGGUGGGUGGUGGUGCAUGGCCGUUCUUAGUUGGUGGAGCGAUUUGUCUGGUUAAUUCCGAUAACGAACGAGACUCUAGCCUACUAAAUAGUUCGCCGAUGGCCGUCUGUCGGCGCUAACUUCUUAGAGGGACAAGUGGCGUUCAGUCACGCGAGAUUGAGCAAUAACAGGUCUGUGAUGCCCUUAGAUGUUCGGGGCCGCACGCGCGCUACACUGAAGGAGUCAACGUGUGUUCUUCCUGAUCCGAUAGGACCGGGUAACCCGAUGAACGUCCUUCGUGCUAGGGAUUGGGGCUUGUAAUUCUUCCCCAUGAACGAGGAAUUCCCAGUAAGCGCGACUCAUUAGGUCGCGUUGAUUACGUCCCUGCCCUUUGUACACACCGCCCGUCGCUACUACCGAUUGGAUGGCUUAG
rnacentral:rRNA from 1 species